AAGAGAGCAUGCUGUCCUUUACCUGGAAUACUUUCUUUCUUCAUAGCAAGCUGUUGCUUCAGGGCUUCCUGAGGCAGAGUUUGUAUCUGGGUCAGUGUGUUCAAUAACCACCGGUAGACUGAUCCUUUCUCAGCUUGUCAAGAUUUUCUUACUCUGGAUCGUCUUCUUUGGAAAUGAACAAAUGUGUGACUUCUGGUUAUGUUUAUAGGAGAGAUGCUUCUAUUCCUACAGGAAUCCUAAAACAUUCAAGCAUUUUCAAGCUGCAGGAUGAAUGUGGUGUGCAAACACCGUAGCUGCUGUGGCCAGCCUCUCUGGAAGAAUUAAGAGUGUAUUCCUGCUGUUCAAACUGCUAAACCAAGAAGCUGCAAAUGAGAUUACAUGCUGACCGAGUCAUGCUGGAACAGGUACAACAGGAGAACCAGUGCCUGAAUCAGCAAGUUGCCCAUUUAUGGCUGCGUUUAUGGCACUGCAGAAAAUAAGAUAUACCUAGAAGAAUUCAGAAGGAAGUUUGAAAACUACAGCAAGGU